ACCUGGUUGAUCCUGCCAGUCGCGAUAUGCUUACUUAACAGACUAAGCCAUGCAUGUCUAAGUAUAAGGAACUUUAUACUACGAAACUGCGAAUGGCUCCUUAAAUCAGUUAUCGUUUACUCGAUAAUGACCUUUUCUACUUGGAUAACCGUGGAAAAUCUAGAGCUAAUACAUGCUUAAGGCCCGACUCUCGUGGAAGGGCUGCGUUUAUUAGAUACAAAACCAACCUGGGAAGCAAUUUCCGGCCUUUGGUGAUUCAUAGUAACUGAGCGAACCGCAUGGCCUUGUGCCGGUGGUGCGUCGAUCAAAUUUCUGCCCUAUCAACUUUCGAUGGAUGUGUAGUGGACAUCCAUGGUUGUAACGGGUAACGGGGGGUUAGGGCUCUACUCCCGGAGAGGACGCCUUAGAAACGGCGACCACUUCCAAGGAAGGCAGCAGGCGCGCAAAUUACCCAAUGUCAAUUCGACGAGGUAGUAACGAAAACUAUGAAUGGUCGGACUUUUUAGUCGGACCAAUUUAAAUGAGUACAAAUUAGACUUCUUAACGAGGACCAAGUGGAGGGCAAGUCUGGUGCCAGCAGCCGCGGUAAUUCCAGCUCCACUAGCGUAUGCGAAUUCUGCUGCAGUUAAAACGCUCGUAGUUGAAUUUUGGUUGAGUUUCUUUGGUAGGUGGUGCGCUUCGGCCGCUGCCUGCUGCGUGGACCGGCUUUGGCUUCGGCCUUGCGCUGGUUCGCACUCAGCCUUUGGUAGUGCCUUGGCGACUGGCCUUAACCGGCCGGCCGUCGUGGUCUACCCGUUUACUUUGAACAAAUUAGAGUGCUCAAAGCAGGCAAUUUUCGCCUUGAAUACUUUAGCAUGGAAUAAUAAAAUAGGACUUCAGUCUUAUUUUGUUGGUUUUCAGGACCGAAGUAAUGAUUAAUAGAAAACAUCAGAGCCAUUACUAUUCCGUUGUCAGAGGUGAAAUUCUUGGAUUGACGGAAGAGUCACUACUGCGAAAGCAUUUGGCGGGGGGUUUUUCAUUAAUCAAGAACGAAAGUUAGGGGAUCGAAGACGAUCAGAUACCGUCGUAGUCCUAACCAUAAACUAUGCUGACUAGGGAUCGGACGGGACGAACUUUGAUUCUACCCGUUCGGCACCUCCAGGGAAACCGCAAGUCAAGUUCUGGGGGGAGUAUGGUUGCAAGGCUGAAACUUAAAGGAAUUGACGGAAGGGCACAACCAGGUGUGGAGCCUGCGGCUUAAUUUGACUCAACACGGGAAAACUUACCAGGUCCAGACAUAGGAAGGAUUGACAGAUUGAGAGUUCUUUCUUGAUUCUAUGGGUGGUGGUGCAUGGCCGUACUUAGUUGGUGGAUUGGUCUGUCUGCUUAAUUGCGAUAACGAACGAGACCUUAACCUGCUAAAUAGUUGCCACCGUGGCUUGUUCACGGUGCGAGGCCUUCGGGCCAGACAACUUCUUAGAGGGACUGCGGUAGUCAAUACUGCGGAGGUUUGAGGCAAAUACAGGUCUGUGAUGCCCUUAGAUAAUCUGGGCCGCACGCGCGCUACACUGAUCGAUUCAACGAGCGUGAUUUUCGUCCUUGGCCGACAGGCCUGGGCAAUCUCCUCAACGUCGAUCGUGCUGGGGUUAGAUCGUUGGAAUUUUCGAUCUUUAACGAGGAAUACCUAGUAAUCGCAAGUCAUCAGCUUGCGCUGAUUACGUCCCUGCCCUUUGUACACACCGCCCGUCGCUGCUACCGAUUGUUGGUUCCGGUGAGGUGUUUGGAUUGUAGCGAUGACGAGGGUUCGCCCUUGACAUUGCCGCGAGAAGUCCACCAAAUCUUAGCCAAUAGAGGAAGCAAAAGUCGUAACAAGGUUUCCGUAGGUGAACCUGCGGAAGGAUCAUUA
rnacentral:rRNA from 1 species